rnacentral:lncRNA from 1 species
CAUUUUAUUGUGAGUUCACUUCUGUCCUAGAGUUACUUAUGAGUAGGGUUGGUUGUUCCCCAAUCAAGAUUAUUUUGGAGGCAAGGGCAACAGUGAUACCCAUGUGAGUUUGUUAUCCUUUGACAAGUAUCCUAUGGAUGAAAAAUCAACAAUAGCUGGCAUUUUAGGUACCGAAUACAUCUAUAUUUCACUAGAUAUCCUAUACCAAUGAUCAUUUAAUAUGUCAAGAUUUCCUUGUAACAUAUAUAUGCUAAAAUGUCCAAAUAUGUACUAUGUAGAUCACUUAUGUUCUUUUGUUAGUAUUGUUUCUCCUUAUUUUAUGGAUCACAUUUCUGUUCCCUUUACUUCAAAUGAACGUGUUAAUGAAUAUGCUAAAGAAAUGUUAAUUUGGGUUAUAUUAACCAUUGCAACAUCAAUAUUCAAAACGAUUGAGGGUAUGAACGUAAAUAUAAAAGAAAAGGACUAAACGACGCAAAGUAGAAAUGGAGACGUGUGACUAUUGCACAUGCAUGUUACGUUUGAUGGAUGUUUGUUGUUUGUUUGGAUUAAUGUCUCGUUUUCAAGUGGGUCUAGGUGCACUCGUGCACUCGAUAUUUGUUCCUUUUCCCAUAAAUUUUUGUUACCAUUCUUUCUGUUUAGAAUAAAAUAUUUAAUUUGACAAAUAAUUUAAUGUUAGAUUAACGUUAUUUCUGUAACAAACUAUGACUGUUAUCUAUGAAGUUUUUUUUUUUUUUUUUUUUUUUCAGCUAGUGAGACUCAAUGAUCUCACCUUUUUAGUUCGAUUGUUGUAGUUUUUAUCGGAUAUUUUCUUAUUCUUGCGUACUUGACAAUUUAACCCAUCACGUUUUUUAAAGAAUGGUCGAUACCAUUUUAAUAAGAUCGUGCGUGAAGUAAGUCAUCGAAACCAAUGACAUUUGGAUGGAAGUCAACCUUGCAAGAAGGGUUUAAGUGUUUCCUUAUUGUAGGUAAGCGAUUUUGUUCAUUUAUUGUGCAGUGAAAGUAGAUGUCUUUGAACGAUUUAUUUUUGUGAUGGAUUAUGCAGGAUCCUUAGAGGAAAUUUAAAUUAUUCUUUGGAUCAAUUGAUCGUAAACCUCCGAAUGAUUUCUAUAACGCUCUUUUAGCCC